UCCCGAGAUCACCCGCCUUUGAUCCACAAAGGCUCCGGGCGCGCGCAACGAUCGUUGCCAAAGCCCACGAAUCUUGCCUCGCAAAGUUCGGCCAGGGAGAUCGAGAAACGAACAAGCGAUUCCUUCCUCCGCCGUCGGAAUUUGUGUUAAAACCACACAACUCUUAACUCUCUUUGCUUGGGACUCUUAUUUAAAAGGAAAGUCCAGGCGAGGAUUUUCUCCCGUCCGGCUCCACAAAUUCAGAGAGAGAGAGAGAGAAAACAGACGGACUUCUAGUCCAAGCCAGGGCGAGAGAUCAGGGUGGGGUUCCCGAAGUCACCGCGGACCAACGCGAGGGAAGUGGGGCGCAGCUCCCGAGGGACGCAGCGACGGCGUGGAAUUUGCCAAUGGAACACCACACGGCAAUUGUUGGCUGAGCGGCUGGGCAGGAUGGAGAUGAAAAGGCUUCCAGGAGAGCUUUCCUGACUCUUGUCUCUUCAGCAGCUGGAACAGGGAUGAGAUGAUAGCUGGCAAUGUAAGAGGAUUCCAAAGCAAUGAGGAAAUGAAUGGUGGAGCUGGCCCAAGACAUUUUGAUGCCUGAAGCAAAACACCAAAUGAUACCCUCCCUAUGCUGGGGAGGUGGUGGGCAAAAUGUAAACAGUCUUGUUGCACUAGUUCAGAUGUACCGUAGCUUCUUGACUUUAUGUAUUCCCCUAAAUUCUGGCACCUGAAACAGAAUGUUUCGCCAUAGCAGAACUGACACAGAGGGAUAUGAAGAAGUUUCAUCAAAUGUGAUCAAAGGCUCAUCUGACACUGCCCUUUCGACAAUAAAAUAUGGAUAGAAUCGAAAGCGUUUGAUACAUGGUUUUAAAUCUUAGACUAUUACAUAUUUCUUCAGUCAUGAGUUGCGCUAGCCGCUGCCAGAGGUUGGAUACUGGGUUUCGGGGCAGGUUUAUGACUUUUGGCAUAGCAAACAAAAAAUGUAUUUGGGAGUUUCUGGGCUGUCAGAGUUCCUAAGAUAUUGCACCCCAUUGUGUGUGUGUGUGUGUGU